GUCAGAAUGCUGAGCAGUAUACACUUCCCCUCCAUGAUAAUAAAGUAACAAGGGGGUUUUCAUUAUACUUUGUGAAGCUUUAGGCAGAGUCAGGCUCCAUUUCUUUACAGAUAAGUCUGGGUGUGCAGAAAGUUCUGGAAACCCUAGGUCAAAUUGAUAGGGAAUGGAGGAUUUUUCUCAAUUUCUAGGUAUCCAGCAUGGUCUAAUGUGUCUUCAUAGUUUCAGCAGAGAGGACGAACACAAAUUUGUUUCUUUGCACUUUGAUAGUUGAGGCUGGUUAGUGAGAUGACAGAAAAGAAAAUGGAGGGAAGGCAGGAAGGCAGGCAGGCAGGCAAGAAAGAAAGAAA
rnacentral:lncRNA from 1 species